GGCUCUUUAGCUCAGUUGGGAGAGCGACAGACUGAAGAGUUGCCGCCAGGCAGCUCACGCCUUCUGCAGGUCUCCGGUUCAAUCCCGGAAAGGGCCA